AUACGUAGGGGGCAAGCGUUGUCCGGAUUUACUGGGUGUAAAGGGUGCUCAGGCGGAUUUGUAAGUCAGAGGUGAAAUCCCGAAGCUUAACUUCGGAACUGCCUUUGAUACUGCAAGUCUAGAGUUCAAAAGAGGAUGAUGGAAUAUCUGGUGUAGCAGUGAAAUGCGUAGAUAUCAGAUAGAACACCAAUGGCGAAGGCAGUCAUCUGGUUUGAAACUGACGCUAAAGCACGAAAGUAUGGGGAGCAAACAGGAUUAGAUACCCUGGUAGUCCAUACCCUAAACGAUGAGUACUAGACGUUGGGUCUUUUAAGAUUCAGUGUCUGAGCUAACGCAUUAAGUACUCCACCUGGGAAGUACGAUCGCAAGGUUGAA
rnacentral:rRNA from 1 species